GAUGAACGCUGGCGGUGUGCCUAAUACAUGCAAGUCGUACGCAUUCUCGUUUCUGAUUGACGGUGCUUGCACCUAAUUGACGAGACAUUGGAAUGAGUGGCGGACGGGUGAGUAACACGUGGGUAACCUGCCCAGAAGUGGGGGAUAACAUUUGGAAACAGAUGCUAAUACCGCAUAAAAGUCAAAACCACAUGGUUUUGAUUUAAAAGAUGGCCUUUGUGCUAUCACUUCUGGAUGGACCCGCGGCGUAUUAGCUAGUUGGUAAGGUAACGGCUUACCAAGGCAAGAAUACGUAGCCGCACUGAGGGGUUGAUCGGCCACAAUGGGGAUGAGACACGGCCCAUACUACGACGGGAGGCAGCAGUAGGGAAUCUUCCACAAUGGGCGCAAGCCUGAUGGAGCAACACCGCGUGAGUGAAGAAGGGUUUCGGCUCGUAAAACUCUGUUGUUAAAGAAGAACGUAUCUAAGAGUAACUGCUUAGGUAGUGACGGUAUUUAACCAGAAAGCCACGGCUAACUACGUGCCAGCCGCCGGUAA
rnacentral:rRNA from 1 species